rnacentral:rRNA from 1 species
AACGAACGCUGGCGGCAGGCUUAACACAUGCAAGUCGAACGAUGUAGCAAUACAUAGUGGCGCACGGGUGAGUAAUACUUGGGAACGUGCCCUUCAGUCUGGGAUAACCACGGGAAACUGUGGCUAAUACCGGAUAUUCUCCGCGGAGGAAAGUUUUUCGCUGAAGGAUCGGCCCAAGCCAGAUUAGCUAGUUGGUGAGGUAAUGGCUCACCAAGGCUACGAUCUGUAGCUGGUCUGAGAGGACGACCAGCCACACUGGAACUGAGACACGGUCCAGACUCCUACGGGAGGCAGCAGUGGGGAAUAUUGGACAAUGGGGGAAACCCUGAUCCAGCCAUGCCGCGUGAAUGAUGAAGGCCUUAGGGUUGUAAAGUUCUUUUGUCAGGGAAGAUGAUGACGGUACCUGAAGAAUAAGCACCGGCUAACUUCGUGCCAGCAGCCGCCGUAA